AUUGAACGCUGGCGGCAGGCCUAACACAUGCAAGUCGAACGAGUGGCGGACGGGUGAGUAAUGUCUGGGAAACUGCCAGAUGGAGGGGGAUAACUACUGGAAACGGUAGCUAAUACCGCAUACCAUCGGAUGUGCCCAGAUGGGAUUAGCUCGUAGGUGGGGUAACGGCUCACCUAGGAGACGAUCCCUAGCUUGUCUUAGAGGAUGACUCGCCACCCUGGACCUGGGACACGGUCCCGACUCCUACGAGAGGCAGCCGUGUGGAAUAUUGCACAAUGGGCGCAAGCCUGAUGCAGCCAUGCCGCGUGUAUUAAGAGGGCCUUCGGGUUGUAAAGUACUUUCAGCGAGGAGGCGUGACUCGCAGAAGAAGCACCGGCUAACUCCGGGCCAGCAGCCGCGGUAAUAC
rnacentral:rRNA from 1 species